UACGUAGGGGGCAAGCGUUGUCCGGAUUUAUUGGGCGUAAAGAGCGUGUAGGCGGCCAUACAGGUCAGCUGUGAAAACUCGAGGCUCAACCUCGAGACGUCGGUUGAAACCGUAUGGCUAGAGUCCGGAAGAGGAGAGUGGAAUUCCCGGUGUAGCGGUGAAAUGCGCAGAUAUCGGGAAGAACACCGGUGGCGAAGGCGGUUCUCUGGGCCUGUACUGACGCUCAUGCACGAAAGCGUGGGGAGCAAACAGG
rnacentral:rRNA from 1 species